rnacentral:lncRNA from 1 species
UAACGGCUUCUACUGGAUGAUUCUGCAUUUUUUGACAUCUUCCUAGAUCACGUGUAUCUCAUGUGAUGUGUUUCUGUGCGGCUGCUGGCCCAACCUCUUGACUCUCCUCUCUGCCAAAUACCAAGGCCAGCUCUGUCUCCUUUUGACCUCCGAAGCUGUGGAUACAGUGAAUCACUUUUUCUCCUAAUUGUCUCCUCUAUUCUUGGCAGACUUCCUUAAAAGA